GGCCUUUGCCUUCACAAAGGCCGUCGGCCGUUCAGGAGGGCUGUUUUCUUAAGACUCUGCACGUGCCCAUGUCCACCGGGUGACUUCAGAAGGAGCCGGGCCAAUCAAGGCUGAGACGGGAGGAGGGCUCAUGCCAGCUCUAUGAUUGGCUGGUGCUGUGCAAACAGGAGCAAAAGGGCCGUGCACCUGUGCUACCUGAGGGAGCCCACUUCCUGUGAUGAAGCUGAUCAGAGACCGGCAGGUAAGGAAGGAGGAGGAGGCCCUCUUGGAGAAGAGCCGGCUGUCACCUGUCCACCAAGACGGUUGUUUCCUCAACAUUGCAAAGGGAGCCAAGCCAGAAACAGCUGCUUUGGGUGAGAAUUGAGUGUAGGGUGGUGGGAGGUGCUAAGGGUGGCGCAGUGGUUAGGGUGCAGUACUGAAGGCCACUA